GAUGAACGCUAGCGGCAGGCCUAACACAUGCAAGUCGAGGGGUAUUAGGGGCUUGCUCCUAAGAGACCGGCGCACGGGUGCGUAACGCGUAUGCAAUCUGCCUUGUACAGAGGGAUAGCCCAGAGAAAUUUGGAUUAAUACUUCAUAGUGGUAAUGAAAUGGCAUCAUUUUAUUACUAAAGCUUCGGCGGUACAAGAUGAGCAUGCGUCCCAUUAGCUAGUUGGUAAGGUAACGGCUUACCAAGGCUACGAUGGGUAGGGGUCCUGAGAGGGAGAUCCCCCACACUGGUACUGAGACACGGACCAGACUCCUACGGGAGGCAGCAGUGAGGAAUAUUGGUCAAUGGUCGGAAGACUGAACCAGCCAUGCCGCGUGCAGGAUGACGGCCCUAUGGGUUGUAAAACUGCUUUUGUACGGGAAGAAACACCGGUUCGUGAACCGGCUUGACGGUACCGUAAAGAAUAAGGAUCGGCUAACUCCGUG
rnacentral:rRNA from 1 species